rnacentral:rRNA from 1 species
AGCGAACGCUGGCGGCAGGCCUAACACAUGCAAGUCGAGCGAGGACUUCGGUUCUAGCGGCGGACGGGUGAGUAACGCGUGGGAAUGUGCCCUUCUCUACGGAAUAGCCCUGGGAAACUGGGAGUAAUACCGUAUACGCCCUAUUGGGGAAAGAUUUAUCGGAGAAGGAUCAGCCCGCGUUGGAUUAGGUAGUUGGUGGGGUAAUGGCCUACCAAGCCGACGAUCCAUAGCUGGUUUGAGAGGAUGAUCAGCCACACUGGGACUGAGACACGGCCCAGACUCCUACGGGAGGCAGCAGUGGGGAAUCUUAGACAAUGGGGGCAACCCUGAUCUAGCCAUGCCGCGUGAGUGAUUAAGGCCUUAGGGUUGUAAAGCUCUUUCAGCUGGGAAGAUAAUGACGGUACCAGCAGAAGAAGCCCCGGCUAACUCCGUG